UACGUAGGCAGCAAGCGUUGUUCGGAGUUACUGGGCGUAAAGGGUGUGUAGGCGGUUCUUUAAGUUUGGUGUGAAAUCUCCCGGCUCAACUGGGAGGGUGCGCCGAAUACUGAGGGACUAGAGUACGGGAGAGGAAAGUGGAAUUCCUGGUGUAGCGGUGAAAUGCGUAGAUAUCUGGAGGAACACCGGUGGGGAAGGCGGCAUCCUGGACCAACAAUGACGCUGAGUGAGCGAAAGCCAGGGGAGCAAACGGG
rnacentral:rRNA from 1 species